rnacentral:rRNA from 1 species
GUUAGGAAUAUUGGACAAUGGGCGCAAGCCUGAUCCAGCCAUGCCGCGUGAGUGAUGAAGGCCUUCGGGUUGUAAAGCUCUUUAGUCCACGAAUAUAAUGACUGUAGUGGAAGAAUAAGCCCCGGCUAACUUCGUGCCAGCAGCCGCGGUAAUACGAAGGGGGCGAGCGUUAUUCGGAACCACUGGGCGUAAAGCGUGCGUAGGCUGUUUUGUAAGUCAGAAGUGAAAGCCCAGGGCUUAACCCUGGAAUUGCUUUUGAAACUACAAGACUCGAAUUCGGGAGAGGAUAGCGGAAUUGUCAGUGUAGCAGUGAAAUGCGUAGAUAUUGACAGGAACACCAGUGGCGCAAGCGGCUAUCUGGACCGAUAUUGACGCUGAGGCACGAAAGCGUGGGGAGCAAACAGGAUUAGAUACCCUUGUAGUCC